rnacentral:rRNA from 1 species
UACGUAGGGCGCAAGCGUUAUCCGGAAUUAUUGGGCGUAAAGAGCUCGUAGGCGGUUUGUCGCGUCUGCCGUGAAAGUCCGGGGCUCAACUCCGGAUCUGCGGUGGGUACGGGCAGACUAGAGUGCGGUAGGGGAGAUUGGAAUUCCUGGUGUAGCGGUGGAAUGCGCAGAUAUCAGGAGGAACACCGAUGGCGAAGGCAGAUCUCUGGGCCGUAACUGACGCUGAGGAGCGAAAGCAUGGGGAGCGAACAGG